CCUACGGGGGGCAGCAGUGAGGAAUAUUGGUCAAUGGGCGCGAGCCUGAACCAGCCAAGUCGCGUGAGGGAGGACGGCCCUACGGGUUGUAAACCUCUUUUGCCGGGGAGCAACGGGCGCCACGUGUGGCGUCACUGAGAGUACCCGGAGAAAAAGCAGCGGCUAACUCCGUGCCAGCAGCCGCGGUAAUACGGAGGAUGCGAGCGUGAGCAGGAUUUAUUGGGUUGAAAGGGUGCGUAGGCGGAUCGUUAAGUCAGUGGUCAAAUUGCGGGGCUCAACCCCUUCCCGCCAUUGAAACUGGCGUUCUUGAGUGGAAGAGAAGUAUGCGGAAUGCGUGGUGUAGCGGUGAAAUGCCUCGAUCUCACGCAGAACCCCGAUUGCGAAGGCAGCAUGCCGGCUUCCGACUGACGCUGACGCACGAAAGCGUGGGGAUCGAACAGGAUUAGAUACCCGUGUAGUC
rnacentral:rRNA from 1 species